AAGCAGCUGAUAUAAAGAUCAAUCCGGGACAGAAACCACCUUUACACGUGAACCCAAAGUACGAAAUUUUGUAUGCUACUAAACACUGCAUUAUUUUUGGUGCCAUGCCGCAGCCAAAACUUAGAACAUACUGCACCUACUGGGUCAAGAAGAGCGCUGUGAAGAAUCGGAACUGGGCUUGUGACUUCAUCUUAAACCAUUACUGCCGAAGCCCGGAAAUUGUGAUUAAGGAUACAGAAGCCUGUUGGCCCGAAGGAAAUGCAUAAAGAUAGAAAUUAAUUGUACCAAAACAAUCGACGAUGAUUUCCAAUGUGAGCGAAAAGCCGAAAGCUUCUAGAGAGGUAAUCGCUUGAUUAAAGAAUGAUACUCUUA